CCUACGGGUGGCAGCAGUGAGGAAUAUUGGUCAAUGGGCGCGAGCCUGAACCAGCCAAGUCGCGUGAGGGAUGAAGGUUCUCUGGAUCGUAAACCUCUUUUAUAAGGGAAUAAAGUGUGGGACGUGUCCUAUUUUGUAUGUACCUUAUGAAUUCGGAUCGGCUAACUCCGUGCCAGCCGCCGCGGUAAUACGGUGGAUCCGUGCGUUAUCCGGAUUUAUUGGGUUUAAAGGGUGCGUAGGCGGGCUUUUAAGUCAGCGGGGAAAGUCUGUGGCGCAACCAUAGAAUUGCCGUUGAUACUGGGGAACUUGAGUAUGUUUGAGGCAGGCGGAAUGCGUGGUGUAGCGGUGAAAUGCGUAGAUAUAACGCAGAACCCCGAUUGCGAAGGCAGCCUACCAAGCCAUGACUGACGCUGAUGCACGAAAGCGUGGGGAUCAAACAGGAUUAGAUACCCGGGUAGUC
rnacentral:rRNA from 1 species